rfam:Gossypium hirsutum cultivar TM-1 chromosome 2, whole genome shotgun sequence
AUUCUGUGAUGAGGGAACUUCUGUAAUAAUUCUUUGUACCUUUCCUAUACCUCAUACAAGGACUCAUCAUCCAUUUUUAGGAAAGCAGUGAUCUCAUUCCUCAACUU